AGAUACCCUACUAUGCCUAAGCCCUAAACACACCACCCGCCAGAGGACAACGAGCAAAGCUUAAAACUCAAAGGACUUGGCGGCACCCCAUACCACCCUAGAGGGGCCUGUCAUAUAAUCGAUAACCCACGAUAAACCCAACCCCCCCUAGCCAACUCAGUCUAUAUACCGCCGUCGCCAGCCCAUCUUAAAAAGAAGCGCAAUGGACAAAAUAGUCUUGCACUAACACGACAGGUCAAGGUGUAACCCAUGGGGAGGAACUGAUGGACCACAUUGCUAUAAAAAGCCAAACCAAAAUUACACUGAAAACACAAUUUAAGGUGAAUUUAGCAGUAAAAAGAACAAGAAAAUUUAUCUGAAGGAUGCCCUGGAGUGUGCACACACCGCCCGUCAC
rnacentral:rRNA from 1 species